UACGGAGGGGGCUAGCGUUGUUCGGAAUUACUGGGCGUAAAGCGCGCGUAGGCGGAUUUGCAAGUCGGGGGUGAAAGCCCGAGGCUCAACCUCGGAACUGCCCUCGAUACUGCAAAUCUCGAGUCCGAGAGAGGUGAGUGGAAUUCCUAGUGUAGAGGUGAAAUUCGUAGAUAUUAGGAAGAACACCAGUGGCGAAGGCGGCUCACUGGCUCGGUACUGACGCUGAGGCGCGAAAGCGUGGGGAGCAAACAGG
rnacentral:rRNA from 1 species